CAAGAGCUUAUUUCACUCCCUACCUA
rnacentral:tRNA from 2 species